rnacentral:rRNA from 1 species
UACAGAGGGUGCGAGCGUUGUCCGGAAUCACUGGGCGUAAAGGGCGCGUAGGUGGUGGCUUAAGCGUGCGGUGAAAGCUCGGAGCUCAACUCCGAGUCGGCCGUGCGAACUGGGCUCACUGGAGCAUAGUAGAGGCAGGUGGAAUUCCGGGUGUAGUGGUGGAAUGCGUAGAGAUCCGGAGGAACACCAGCGGCGAAGGCGGCGUCCUGGACUGGUACUGACGCUCAGGAGCGAAAGCGUAGGGAGCGAUCCGG